rnacentral:lncRNA from 10 species
GUGAGGAAUGGCAGGCUUCCCUGGCCUGGGAUCCCACCUCGGGCGGCUGGCAAGGCCGGAGCCAUCCUAAGGCCCUUCUCUUCCAGGAAAAAUACAUACACUAAAACAUCAUGCCUACCAGGGGGAACGUGAAUCUCAAACGCAACAGUAAUUCAGUAAUUCUUAACACCCGUGACCGUCCCACCAUCACCUCCCUCGUUCAAAACUGUAAGAAGCAUUCGACGGAGACUUUGAUUUGACGUAGAAAGAUCGUGCCUGCUAUGGUGAGGCUGCAGGCACGAGCCAUUAAGUAACCGAGUAUUCCUGCUCAGGAACCAAGCGCUGUUUCCUGUGAAGGACCACUCACUCGGUGCUGUGGGCACUCCAGGG